CAACAUGGGAGCCCGCAGGUAUUUAUAUUGAUCGAGAGGGGCGACCCUCUAUCGUACGCGUACAGAGAUCGAUCUCUUGGAUCGUUACAACAGUAGGAUUACAAGUUUGUUGGACUACUAACAAACCCUACCAACUAUACAAGUUUACACCGGUGCUAUCUAACAACUUCUGUAGGCCUGGUAUCUUCAUGUUGUUUAACAUGUACAACUGGAUCUCAUUUUGAAAAAAUUGAAAUAGAAAAAAAUGCUGCUAAAACAUAUCCAAUUGCGAUCUCAUUUUGAAUAUAUCUCAUCAAACCGGACAAAUGGGUGAAAUCAGAUUUUGGUUCCCAUUUGAGAGCAACGGCUUUUAAAGUUCCUAAAUUGAUGUGAAAAAAGAAACAUAUGCGGAGA
rnacentral:lncRNA from 1 species